rnacentral:rRNA from 1 species
CCCCUAGAUGUUCUGGGCCGCACGCGCGCUACACUGAACAGUUCAACAAGUCUUAACCUUUGCCGAUAGGUCUGGGUAAUCUUUGAACGCUGUUCGUGAUUGGGAUAGACCUUUGCAAUUAUGGGUCUUCAACGAGGAAUUCCUAGUAAACGCAAGUCAUCAGCUUGCAUUGAUUACGUCCCUGCCCUUUGUACACACCGCCCGUCGCACCUACCGAUUGAAUGGUCCGGUGAAAUCUCGGGACGGCGGCUUGGUCGCUUGCGUCCGACUGCUGAAACUUGAUUAAACCAUAUCAUUUAGAGGAAGGUGAAGUCGUAACA